GGUAGGUAGCUCAGUGGUAAUAGUGCUUGCCUAGCAUGUGUGAUCCCUGAGUUCAAUCCUCAGCACUGCCA
rnacentral:tRNA from 1 species